UGCCUUGAUCAUAUUAUAAAUCAAACUGAAACCCUUAUAUUUGAUGUUCUUAGUGCCAAUGCAUUUCAUCUUGAAUUAUUCAACUGAAAAGGGGAAAGAAAGUUAGCUAACCAUCUAUAAUAGAUAAAUCCAGAUUUUUGAAGAACAUUUGCUCUUGAGCCCAAAGUGCUUUGAUAUAUUAAUUUUGAAAUAACUAGAUGCUCUGAAUUUGAUAUUUUAUGCUUGUAUCUGAAAUUGGAUUGGUAGAAACAUGAUUUGCUGUAAAUUUCUUGAUGCACUCCUAAUAUUGAAAUGUAACUU
rnacentral:lncRNA from 1 species